rnacentral:RNase_P_RNA from 1 species
GAGAGAGGCUGGACGGCUGCCGGACCUUCAGGUCUGAGGAAAGUCUCCCCACCGCUCCGGACACACGAACAUCUGUAAAGGAUGUCGGGCGAGAGCCCGGGCCCUGGCACAGAAACGAUAACCAUCCCCUGCAAAUGCGAUGAUGCCAUAAGCUGAGGUCGCAGGGAGAGUGGAUGAAACGGCGAAUCCUCGUGGGUGCAAGUUGGAAAUCGGGAAGUACGAGCAGUCCGGAAUNNNNNNNNNNGUCCGGAAUCGUCCCGGUUGGUUUUGGUAACGCUUAGCCGAAUGCCGUCGCUGCAAGAGUCCUCAGGGACCGUUUCUUACACUGCUGGGUGCAAGAAAGCUUUGCAGUAACAGAAGGGAGCUUACACGCCUCACUC